GGCAAGUGAAAAAAAAAACAGAGAAAGAGACGAAACAGAGGAGAAACAGGGAAGAAAGAAGAAAAAGAAAGAAAAAGGGGAAAAUAGAUUUUUAAAGCUUGGAGUUAAUUUGCUAACAAAGAACCCGAGGCAUCAGCAUCAAAAGGAAAAGGGAAAGCUAUCGAGGACUAAAGCGGGAGAUUCACAGUCGAUAGAAGUCAAAGGUCCCGGUUCAGCAUCCAGAUUAAUCCCGACUUCAGCGUAACUUUGGUGAUAUUAUCUGAUAUGUCCGGUAAUGCCUCGUAACCCUGUUCCGGCGACGAUUGGGGUUAGGGGGUGUUACAGAAGGAAUGAGGCUACCUGAAGAAGAAAAGCGCUAAAGUCUAGCACGACCAGGCAAAAUUGGCCAUUUCUAAAGUCUUUGCUCCGUUCUCGUUACACGAUAAUGAGCAAAGAGGGGCAGCUGUAAUAGGCCAAUUUAGCCCAGGCUCAUAAAAAAAAUAAACCCAAAAUAAUAAAACAAUGUCCAAAAUUAUAUCAUUUGGCCCGAUCGGGAUGGCCCAUUACUUGAAAAGGUUGAAGGUCUAUCUACAAGCUUGAUGCAUAUGGAAACAUAAUCUUCAAGGAUAUGAAAUCUUAGAUAUGAUAUGCAAUCUUAGAAGAUAUGAUUUUGUAAUCUUAGAGAUUUAAUUUGUAGAUACCUAUUAAUCUUAGUCGUUGAUGUAAUUAAUCUGUACCGUUGGAU